AGAUACGCAAACGCAGAGGAGGGGGAUGCAGAGUAGAGGGAGGAGAAGAAGCAAAUAGUGCAUGACCAUGGAAAUGCUGGGACCACCAAGAAGGAACCAUGACAGUCCAUACAAGGAAGAGAUUCUGGGAGUGAUGGGCUUUCAAGAAGAAUUUGCUUUUCUUGUAGGUAUCAAAGAACUUAUUGAGGGAAAAAAAGAUCCAUUGAGGACUACUGAAGGCAAAACCAAUCCUUAUCUGGAGAAAUUGAACCACAAAGGAGCUGGGAGGAGGGAAGAGUAUACUGAGAAGUAUCACCAUGUUUGCUUUGUUCUCAUACUCUUCUCUGGGCUCCUGUAGUUGGUCACUGAAGUCCUUAAUCUUGUUCUGCAGGUGAGGAACUGUGCCCAACUGGUGCUAAGGGUGGGAAGAGACUCAAGUUCCACUGAGCCAGAGGCCAGUGCUCAGCCACUGAAACCACCUCAUGGCUGGAUUCAGAGCUGCUUGGGUCAGCCAGCAGUGGGGAGCAGCUUGCACUUUCACAUGGAAGAAACAAGGAGAAUUAGUGUCUUCUACACCACAGCCUGGGUUAAACCAGCCACUGGUGGUGGUGGUGUCUGCUCUCUUCUCCCAGCAGUGGGACAGAGAUCUGCUCCUGUCAGGCAGAUGUCUUAUGUGUUGGUCUGUUUAUCUCUAUGAGACAAAGUUGUCCAGGCUGUAUCUCCACCAGUGAGAGCUGAACAAUGCCAGGGAUGAAUUUGGGUCUUGUAGAUCAUUACACUGUUGCCUUUGGCAGUACUGCAGUAUGCAGUAAGACUGAGAGUCAAUAUUGGCAGUUCUUCAUACAUUUGCUUCCUCUUGAGAAUAAAUACGCAUUGUAGAGUUCUUUACUUUUUUUC
ensembl:lncRNA